rnacentral:tRNA from 1 species
CGUGGCGUGGAGCAGAGGAAGCUCGCCAGUCUCAUAAGCUGGAGGUCACCGGUUCGAGUCCGGUCGCCGCAA